GGAGCGCGUCGGGCAGCGGCAGCUCGGCGGCGUCCGCCUCGCCGUACAGCGAACGGCCGUCGAGGUGGUACAGGUUCGGGUCGCCGGCCGCCCGCUGC
rnacentral:tRNA from 1 species